rnacentral:rRNA from 1 species
UACGUAGGGGGCAAGCGUUGUCCGGAAUCAUUGGGCGUAAAGAGCGUGUAGGCGGCCCGGUAAGUCCGCUGUGAAAGUCCAGGGCUCAACCCUGGGAUGCCGGUGGAUACUGUCGGGCUCGAGUCCGGAAGAGGAGUGUGAAUUCCUGGUGUAGCGGUGAAAUGCGCAGAUAUCAGGAGGAACACCAAUGGCGAAGGCAGCACUCUGGGACGUGACUGACGCUGAGACGCGAAAGCGUGGGGAGCAAACAGG